GAAUAGCUCAGUUGGUAGAGCACAAAACUCUUAAUCUCAGGGUUGUGGGUUCGAGCCCCACGUUGGGCA